GUUUAUUUUCAGCCUCCCAGAGGCAGCCAGCUGUUGUGUUCUUGUGUCAUGGCAGAGUGAAGUCUUCUGGAGGGAAGCAGGCCACUUUCAAAGCUUGAAGGAAAUAAUCCAAAAGUAUUGCACUCUUCUUUGAUGUCUGAAUGCUGAGUCUGAUCAGGGAAGCUGUAAGUUCCACUUGCAUGAAGUCUCUGAGCAGUUUCCUGUUACCGAGGCCGAGCUGUCUCUGCUCACUACACAAGAGGCCAAUGAAUCCGAGAGAUGAGGUGUUGAGGCAAGGAAUACAACUUUACUCAGAAAGCUGGCUGACCAAGAAGAUGGCAAACUAACGUCUCAAAGUAAUCAUCUUACUGGAGACUGGAAGCCAGAUUCUGUGUAUGGCUGUUUUCUAGUGAGCCAGUAUUUAAUAACUGAGAGCAUGUACCUAAAAACUCAGGUUCCUGACUCCUUU